UAGCUCAGUGGUAGAGCGCUUGCCUCACAUGCAUGAGGCCCUGGGUUCGAUUCCUCAG
rnacentral:tRNA from 1 species